GGGAAGAUGGCCGAGUGGUUAUGGCGCUACGUUCAGGUCUUGGCAAACAUCGUCUGAUUAAGCCGGGAUUCGUAGUAGGGCAACCUGCGUGGGUUCGAGUCCCACUCUUCUCA
rfam:Paracoccidioides sp. &apos;lutzii&apos; Pb01 unplaced genomic scaffold supercont2.18, whole genome shotgun sequence.